AUCAAUGAAAUAAAAGGUGGAAAAAUAAAAAUCAUAUGAAGAAAUAUAAAAGAGAAUUUUAGAAAUUACUUUGGGAUUUUUUGGAUAAAAAGUGAAAUUACUAUGAAUUUUUAAAGAAAAGGAAAUUUAAAACAAUAAAAGAAAAAGAAUCAAUAUCAGAAAAAACACUGAGCAUUGGAUCAUGUGUUCAGCUUGCAGUGAGUUCCAC
rnacentral:lncRNA from 1 species